rnacentral:lncRNA from 1 species
GGGGCAAAAGAUACUAGAAAAACAGUCAAACUCAUAGAUCUAAAAUAAACUGACAACAACGUGGCUUUCAAAAAAGACUAACAGACCAAUAAUAUUACACAAUACACAACAAAAAAAACAUAAAGACUAAGCAACACGAACCCAAACAUAAACUGGGGGUAAUCUCAGGUACUCCGGAAGGGUAAACAGAUCCUGCUCUAAAUGUUGCAUCCGUCAUGUAGUUCAUGAUAUUACAAACCUGGUGUAAGUCACAUUUGUGAAAAGGGAAGGGGAUUGUAGUUAUGAAAGGAGGAACA